AGGAUAGCUCAGUUGGUAGAGCAACUGAUUCGUAAUCAGUAGGUCGUGAGUUCAAUUCUCAUUCCU
rnacentral:tRNA from 1 species